rnacentral:rRNA from 1 species
GACGAACGCUGGCGGCGCGCCUUACGCAUGCAAGUCGAACGGAGCAUUCCUUCGGGGGAUGUUCAGUGGCAGACGGGUGAGUAACACGUAGGUAACCUGCCCGGGAGUGGGGAAUAACUCUCCGAAAGGAGAGCUAAUACCGCAUGACGUCGCUUCGUACAUCGAGGUGACCAAAGUAGCAAUACGCUUCCGGAGGGGCCUGCGGCCCAUCAGCUAGUUGGCGGGGUAACGGCCCACCAAGGCAACGACGGGUAGCUGGUCUGAGAGGACGACCAGCCACAAGGGGACUGAGACACGGCCCCUACUCCUACGGGAGGCAGCAGCGAGGGAUCUUGGGCAAUGGGCGAAAGCCUGACCCAGCGACGCCGCGU